rnacentral:rRNA from 1 species
UACGGAAGGGGGCUAGCGUUGCUCGGAAUCACUGGGCGUAAAGGGUGCGUAGGCGGGUCUUUAAGUCAGGGGUGAAAUCCUGGAGCUCAACUCCAGAACUGCCUUUGAUACUGAAGAUCUUGAGUUCGGGAGAGGUGAGUGGAACUGCGAGUGUAGAGGUGAAAUGCGUAGAUAUCGGGAGGAACACCAGUGGCGAAGGCGACUACCUGGCCUGUUCGUUGACGCUGAGGCGCGAAAGCUAGGGGAGCAAACGGGG